CCUACGGGUGGCAGCAGUGAGGAAUAUUGGUCAAUGGGCGAGAGCCUGAACCAGCCAAGUCGCGUGAGGGAGGACGGCCCUACGGGUUGUAAACCUCUUUUGCCGGGGGACAAACGGCGGCACGCGUGCCGUCCUGAGGGUACCCGGAGAAAAAGCAUCGGCUAACUCCGUGCCAGCAGCCGCGGUAAUACGGAGGAUGCGAGCGUUAUCCGGAUUUAUUGGGUUUAAAGGGAGUGUAGAUGGGUUGGUAAGUCAGUUGUGAAAGUUUGCGGCUCAACCGUAAAAUUGCAAUUGAUACUGGGAGUCUUGAGUACAGUUGAGGUAGGCGGAAUUCGUGGUGUAGCGGUGAAAUGCUUAGAUAUCACGAAGAACCCCGAUUGCGAAGGCAGCUUACUAAACUGUGACUGACAUUGAUGCUCGAAAGUGUGGGUAUCAAACAGGAUUAGAUACCCCUGUAGUC
rnacentral:rRNA from 1 species